rnacentral:rRNA from 1 species
UCUCGCAUCGAUGAAGAACGUAGCGAAAUGCGAUACUUGGUGUGAAUUGCAGAAUCCCGUGAACCAUCGAGUCUUUGAACGCAAGUUGCGCCCGAAGCCAUCAGGCCGAGGGCACGUCUGCCUGGGCGUCACGCAUCGCGUCGCCCCCCGCACGCCGCAAGGC